CAUAUGAACUGAGUCGGUCGCCGGUCCCGUCCUCGCGGCCUCUGAGCGCUCGGUCCCGCGGCCUGGCGCUGCUCGUGACCUCUUGAGUUACGCCUCACGGCUUCCCUGUGGUGCCAGCUGCUCUGAAAACGCCCCGAACGAUGGCAGUGCUUGCUGGAGCAUCGAGAUGAGGCAAGCUGCUGGGUUUCGCCAGUGGCUCAAGCCUGCAGUCAUUGCCUCAACGAUAGUGGAGUCUGUUUGCUGCACCGAUCCACUGACAUCAGAUGGCCUGACCAAUGUUGCAAUCACUGGGCGUAAGGAGAUUCCACUCUGCUGAUCUGUUUGGGAUCUGCCUCAAAGGAAACGCAACAAACAGCACCCAGAGGCCAUUGCAAGGAGUGGGAGCUGUGUUAAGCAACAUGCUCCACAAGCACAUAGGGAGGCAGGAUAUUCUGCUUGGAAAUCUUGCAACCUUUGUGGAGACAAGCUACAGCAGAAAUGCAAUUUGGAACUUCCAAAGAUGAUUGUGUCUGCAGAGCACUUUGAAUCCCUCACACAAAAAGCACUACAGCAACGUGAAGAGCUACUGUUGAUAUCAAUAAAUCACUUCAACCAGAAAAGGAAUGCGGCUUUCCGUUUUAGAACAACAAACAAACCACAGCAGUAUUUACUGAGCACUUUAAAGAUAACAGUGGUUACAUAAACACUAAGAAUUAUUAAGGUUUCUUUGUGAAAAGGUUAACUGCGUAGUGGUAAACAGUAUUGCAACUUCCAAGCCCAUCUACAGCCAAAAUAAGCACCUUUUAGUUACAGGGAACUCAAAGCCAAAUCCAGCCCUCUCUUCAAAGGCUCCAAGAUGAAGCGAAUACCAGAAGGUCUUCAUGCCUAAAAACCGCAAGCUGGAUGAAGAGGGUCUUGGCUGAAGCCAGAUUCAACUUCAAUCUGAACAUGGCAGAGAAAUGUUUUCCUGACACUUCUCUACCACUGUUGUACAGCCUGUGGACCUUACCACCCAGCAUUAAGGAGAGCCUAGAGGGAGCUACGAGCCUCUCCCUUCAAACUGUGGCAGAACCACAUUUUAAAUAUUCUUUAGAUGCAAGAAAAGCCUGUUACUACAGCCCAACACUACUCAGAAAAGAAGAUCUAGUAAGUGCAUCCCAUAAGAAGGCCAUCAGAUACCCAUAUGGGACGUGUCAUCCCAGAUGUUCUUCACCUGCUGCAUUAGAACAUAGGUUGUGGUAGCCAGUCAUGGAGGCAGCAGGGAACAGGACCUGGAAAGUCCUGCUGUGAAUGGUGGGGAGCAUUUUCUCAUGGGCAGGCAUAGCUCAAGUAGCUCUUCUGUUGAAUAGCUGGCCCUUUUAGGGUGAGACUACCUGAACAAGAAAUAUGCCUGGCAGAGAGGUUACCUGCAGCCCAUCUGAUAAUAAUCGUUGCUCACCCAGAAUGGCUGGCUACUGAAGACCCUCCAGUGAUUAUCCUUCCCCUUCACAACUCUGACAGGGCUUUUCAUCUUAAGGAUGUGUUUUUUUCACAUCUGUUUAUAUGAAAAAACUUUAAGGAGAAAUAUCAGUGUUGUGGCAAGGCUGCCUGGAGUCCCUGUAGCUUUCUCCAGAACAGUAUGUUCACCUUCAGCCUGCUGUGGCCUCCAAAUGAACUUGUUAAAGAAGUUAGAGUCCAGCCCUGUAAAAUGCUGUGCAACAAACUUUCCCAAUAAGGCUCUCAAGAUUUCUACCUGCUCAAUUUUUUUCAGUCUUUCAGAGGAUUGAAACCUGGAUACAAUCAUCGUCCACAUGUCUUGCAUAAUUCUUUGGUUCUGUACCAAUUCAUCUGUGAAGUUUCAGUGAGGCACAUUAUUUUAAUUUGAAAAAUACAGCAGCAUGUAUUACCUAAGCAAUUAGAUGUUUUCUGAUGUUGCCUUACACUGUUGGAAAACUUAAAGCUUUCCUUUCUAAUGCUGAAUUAAGAGAAAUUUCAGCUGCCAAGCAGCUCUCUUUAUCCAACCCUGACUUCUUACCUCACUUACUCACAAAAAUAAUAACUUUAUGAUUUGGUAAUAUAUAUGGCUAAUUUGCUCUACUGUAAACUGCAUUUCUUUGUGCAAACUCACUAUUUUUUUUUUUUCCCUCCAGACACUGAAGCAAAAGUGCAAAAAUUGAGCUAAAUCCUAGCUAAAUCCAUUUUUAAAGCAGAGCAUACUUUAUGCUUCCUUACAUUUUUUCUCUGUCCUCAACAUCUUACAUAAUUUUUCAACAAUUUGUCAGAGUCUGAAGACAAGUGAAAUGUCUGGAUUUAUAUUCUGGAUUAACAUUGUAUCUCAACUCACUGCAAAAUAAUCUCUAAUGUGUUUGUGGCUAACAAGACUUAGUAUGUUUAUGUUUUAGUACAUACUGCAGAAAUGUCUGGGUUUCAAUGUAGCAACUUAUAGUAAUAUGGUUAUAACAGCUCUUUACAACACCUUAACAAUUUGCUCUGCUUUCUGCACACAGGCACCAAGUAGCAUGUCUCAUUCUAAGCAUCUCAGCCACAAAACAAAGGACAAAUUUGCUGUUGAUAAUUCAUCUUCCAGGCCCACAUUCAUUAGUGGGCCUGUUCAAGUGUGGCUACAUGUAACCCUCUCACCAGCUGUUAAAAACACCUGUAUGCUGUGAACUUCUUCAUUAACUCCCAUCACAGAAGAGUGCAUUGCAUAGUAGUAGUGGAUAUCAAACCAUAGUGUAACAUACAGGGAACGGCAUGCAGAAUAUACGUAGAUUACUUGUAGAGCAUCCGUACUGUUGUGUCUGACAGCCAAACUUCUGAUGUACUUGAUUUGCUCAGAAACUUAUCCUGUCCUUUCCUGUGGAAAGGUGGGUAUGUAUGCUGUAGGGCUGAGGAUACCUUCCCACAGCACUGCAUACACAUUGCAAAAUGCUGCAUGCUGUCCCACUGUGUCUCUGUUGCUGGACAGAGGAAUCAGUCCAGGUGCUACGUCAAGGAGGAAAUCACUUUUAGUUAUUAUUUGUUUGGUAUCUUUUGGCAUAAUUCAUAAUGCUCUGGAUCAUUUUACAAAGCUCUAUGUAGAAACCAAAAUGUUACCAAAGCCCUGGGCUGGCAGGAGGACUUUUCCUGUUGGGAUGUCACAGACGGGAUGUCCCUCUAGCCUUGUGUGGCACUUGGUGGUACAGAGGAAUUGGCAGAGCUAGCACUGCCAGCAAAGGGAUUGCAGCAGCACCGUGGGGACCAACUGACUCCAAACAGCUGCAAGACCUGUGUGUCCUUUUGGCACAAGGGCUGAGUGCUCCCAGCCCACAAGUGCACCCCGAGGCACUCAUCACUAGGUGUGUGGCCAUGCCAGUAUGGGAAUGUGUCUUUGAAACACUGGGAGCACUUGGGUGUGGGGGGAUGCACAGACUGCAGGCGUGGAGGAGCUAACGUCCCUGGUGCAUAGGAAAGUCUGUAUGCAAACACUGCUCUCAGGCCAAACCCUGCUCUUGUCGUCAUCCUUCUGAGUUCAGAGAUGCCAUGUGGAGGCGCAAGGGCAUGGUGGCUCCCUGGCAAGGGCCUCACAUGUUCACAGUCAUAUGCUGGAGAGGCUGAUCAGUUCUGCAAACUGUUUCAAAAAGCCCUUCUUGGUCAAUCUAGGUUUACCGUCAUGCUAAUGUCAUCGGGGCUCAACUCUGCCAAAACACAUUUGCUGCAUUAGCUUUUCCUUUGCUUUUCCUUUGUGCGGAGGAGUCGGAGAAUACGUUCAUUUUUUGUUAGUUCUGCUGGCAAUUCAUUUGCCUGGAACAAAAAACCUCAAAGUUAGGAAAAAUAAGCAAUUAUUUCCUAUACAUUCUUUAAAAGCAUUCAGUUCUAAAGAACAUGGUGCUGAGCUUAACCAUUACCUGCUUAUUUCAACGUUGUCUCUACCACUGUUGGAGAUACCUUAAGAAGUAAUCUUUGCAUGCAGUGUGCAAGUAUCACUCAACUCUUCAGAAUAAUCUUAGCCUGGGAUCUGUCUGGUCAGCUUAUUUUGUGCUGCCUGCCCAAACUAAAUCGUAUCCUUUGAGUUCUCUUUGCUGCAGGCACAAAAUUUAAAGAGAACAUUGCUGCUGAGUUGUUUUUUUGGGAAAUAAAAAUCAAAAGAAAGACUUUAAUUGCUAUGAAAUAGUCAGCCCUAUUCUUUAGGAUAGAUAAUAUAAAAGCAGAGUUUGGUCUUCUUUACGUAUUGAAAAAAAAACAACCUGAUUACAGAAAAUACUUAUAAUGAAUCUACUUCUGAAUAUCAGUAAUUCUGUUUUGCAAAUGUACUCUGUUUUACAUCAAAUUAAAAAAAAAUGGGUAGAAGAGGUUAUAAAUGCAGACCUUUCUAUGCUGCACACUCUCCUACUGCAGAUUGCCAUCAACAGCAGAAAAAUCUUGCACCUUGGAGAACAGCAAAACUGCCAUACAAGCAGCAUUAACUCUGCUGCCAUCAAGUGGAUUGAUAUAGAAAUAACAUGAAGAUUUUAUCAGAAUGCAUAUGCUGGAUUAUUUGUAUUAUAAAAUUUCACUGACAUAAUCAUAAACCAGAAGUAAAUACCAGUUAACUCAUUCACAGCUUAACUAAGCCAGCCAGAUAUCAAAUGCCAACAGCAAAUAGUUCAUAAAGACAACUCAGAGGAAGAUACUUCCAUAGAAAUGACCAAACAUACAGUAUUAAAACACUUUACAGAAUAAAAAAAGCCAAUGUUCUGCUGUCAUAAAAAGAAUCUGAAACUAUUUCAAUAAACUAACAUAUUUACAAGAAUGUGGUGGA